CCUACGGGAGGCAGCAGUGAGGAAUAUUGGUCAAUGGGCGAGAGCCUGAACCAGCCAAGUCGCGUGAAGGAUGACGGCCCUACGGGUUGUAAACUUCUUUUGUCAGGGGGCAAUUUGGUCCACGCGUGGGCUUAGCGAGAUUACCUGAAGAAAAAGCAUCGGCUAACUCCGUGCCAGCAGCCGCGGUAAUAGGGAGGAUGCGAGCGUUAUCCGGAUUUAGUGGGUUUAAAGGGUGCUUAGGCGGAAUAUCAAGUCGGCGGUAAAAACUCGGGGCUCAACCCCGUCGUGCCGUUGAAACUGGUGUGCUUGAGUGGGCGAGAAGUAUGCGGAAUGCGUGGUGUAGCGGUGAAAUGCAUAGAUAUCACGCAGAACUCCGAUUGCGAAGGCAGCAUACCGGCGCCCAACUGACGCUGAAGCACGAAAGCGUGGGUAUCGAACAGGAUUAGAUACCCCAGUAGUC
rnacentral:rRNA from 1 species